rnacentral:lncRNA from 1 species
UCAAUGGUCGAUUAGAUACCUCCUUCUUCUUAAUUUGGACUCUUUCAAAGAUGAGAAGUAGGAGAAGAAGUUUUAGAUGAGACACUCUCAGAAGACUUAUAGAUGGGGGAAGGAAAGAGAUGAACCCAGCAACUCUAGGAGAAGACCCUCUUCUUCUUCUCUUUGCUCUAACCCAGACAUCUAGUUUUGUGUCUAUUAGAUCUCCACUCCCC